UACGUAGGGGGCAAGCGUUGUCCGGAAUCAUUGGGCGUAAAGAGCGUGUAGGCGGCCCGGUAAGUCUGCUCUGAAAGCCCGGGGCUCAACCCCGGGAGGCGGGUGGAUACUGCUCAGCUCGAGUCCGGAAGAGGCGAGUGGAAUUCCUGGUGUAGCGGUGAAAUGCGCAGAUAUCAGGAGGAACACCAAUGGCGAAGGCAGCUCGCUGGGACGGUACUGACGCUGAGACGCGAAAGCGUGGGGAGCAAACAGG
rnacentral:rRNA from 1 species